GUUCUGAUGCAAAAGGAGAAUAUGGGGCCAUGUCCAUGCGUGACAGUGUGGGAAGAUGGUAUUUCUCCACAACUGGAAAUACUACUGAUUGGAGAGAGGAUUUUUGGAUAUGGCAUGUUGUCUCCUGGAGAUUAGUGUGAAACUCCAUAUCUUUUCUCUGUCUGAUCUCAUUACAGUCAGCUCUCUAGGGGUGAAAAGUGCCUGUUGUUCCAGUUUAGAACUGUCACCCUUCACUCCCAUCCCUACAAAACCUACAAUGAUACUUUACAAAGGAAGUUUAAAGAAGAGAUUGAGGAGAAAUAACCAACUACAGAGGGGUUCUUCUACCAAGAAGUCAACUGACUAA
rnacentral:lncRNA from 1 species